rnacentral:lncRNA from 1 species
GUUGGAUUGAAAAUUGAUAUGACGUUGAAAAUACAACGUUGAUUCAACGUCAGCGUCCAACGUUGAAAUUAGGUUGAAUAUUGGUCUAAAUUUGGUGGAGGUAUGUUGAAAACAAGUCGAUUUCAGGUUGAAAUGUGGUCAAUGUAGGUUGAAAACAAGUCGAAUGUUGGUUGAUUUGUGGUUGUUGCGUGUUAAAAUCAGGUCGAAUGUUAGUUGAACUGUGGUCAGUGUAUGUUGAAAUCCGGUCGAAUUUCGGUUGAACUGUGGUCAGUGUAUGUUUAAAUAAGGUCGAAUGUUGGUUGAACUGUGGUCAGUGUAUGCUGAUAACAUGUCGAAUGUUGGUUGAACUGUGGUCAGUGUAUGUUGAAAAUAGGUGGGAAUUGUGGCCAGGUAGACUGUUAAUGCGGUAAAUGUUGAGAAUAUGAUGUUGAACACUGGUUGAAUUGAGGUUUGUUAACAGCUGAAAUCGUUACCCUUUAUUAUAUCCAUAAAUGCCAUUUAAUGUGUAGUAAAAGUUUCGCAAAAGUAUAUGUUCUAUUAAGUUGGAUAGUCAUGUGUUGGUGGUUGGUGUACAUGUAGUAUGUUGUUCAGUU